rnacentral:lncRNA from 1 species
AGAGGACAGAGCUGAGCUCAGCAGCCAAGAUGAUGGUGCCUCUGGGAAAACAGGUUUAAGAAAUGGCUUUUUUUUUUUUUUGUUUCUUUUUUUUUUUCUGCCAGGGCAGAAAAAUAAAGACCAUCUAAGAUAAUCAGGACAAGAGACAAAUACUCAUACUUCAAACUGGCCACUAGCAAGAUCAAGUUAGGAUGAAAUUUCUUGGAGUGUCUUCAUCACUACUUCAGUCUGUGAACCGCAUUUUUUUUUUUUUCCACAGACAUUGUGGCCACUUGAGAUCCAUACCAUAUAGGAGCAUACACUGAGGAGGUUGCAUUCCUUCUUCUACCAUGGAAAACUAAAGGGCUACUAAACCUUAUCUUCCAUGAGGCUCAACCUACUCAGAGAAUAGAGGCUUUGGUGACCUAUAUUCAUCAUCCACUUCUGUGUAACUUGGAACAUAACUGUCUUGGAAACUAGCCAUCUGCAGUACUACUUGUGAGUGGACUCUGGGUUUUUAGAUAUUGGGAAGAAGCAAUGACUGUGUGUGUCUGUUAUCUGGGGCCACGAAUGCUGGGGCCAUGGUUCUGACUUGGAGACAACAUUAGAGGAGAGAAAUGAUAGGGUUGGUUUACCUGUAUCUGGAAAAUCAUUGGAAUAAACACCUAAGAGUUUUUAAUUAGGGUGUCA